rnacentral:rRNA from 1 species
AACGAACGCUGGCGGCGUGGCUAAGGCAUGCAAGUCGAACGGACCCCCUGAUGGGUAACUUGAAGGGGAGUCAGUGGCGAACGGGUGAGUAAUGAAUGGGUAACGUUCCCCGGACUCAGGGAUAGCGGCGGGCCGCAAGGCCCUUUGCGAAAGUGUCGGUAAUACCUGAUGAUCCCGCGUGGUCGCAUGGCCGUGCGGGCAAAGCUCCGGUGGUCUGGGACCGGCCCAUUUCCUAUCAGCUAGUUGGUGAGGUAACGGCUCACCAAGGCUGCGACGGGUACCGGGUGUGAGAGCAUGACCCGGCACAUCGGGACUGAGACACGGCCCGGACACCUACGGGUGGCUGCAGCAACGAAUAUUCCGCAAUGGGCGAAAGCCUGACGGAGCGACGCCGCGUGCAGGAUGAAGUCUUUCGGGAUGUAAACUGCUGUCGGGGGUCAGAAAUUACUGAUCAGCCCCACAGGAAGCCAUGGCUAACUCUGUGCCAGCAGCCGCGGUAAUAC